rnacentral:rRNA from 1 species
GAUGAACGCUGGCGGCGUGCCUAAUACAUGCAAGUCGAGCGAACGGACGAGAAGCUUGCUUUUCUGAUGUUAGCGGCGGACGGGUGAGUAACACGUGGAUAACCUACCUAUAAGACUGGGAUAACUUCGGGAAACCGGAGCUAAUACCGGAUAAUAUUUUGAACCGCAUUGUUCAAAAGUGAAAGACGGUCUUGCUGUCACUUAUAGAUGGAUCCGCGCUGCAUUAGCUAGUUGGUAAGGUAACGGCUUACCAAGGCAACGAUGCAUAGCCGACCUGAGAGGGGGAUCGGCCACACUGGAACUGAGACACGGUCCAGACUCCUACGGGAGGCAGCAGUAGGGAAUCUUCCGCAAUGGGCGAAAGCCUGACGGAGCAACGCCGCGUGAGUGAUGAAGGUCUUCGGAUCGUAAAACUCUGUUAUUAGGGAAGAACAUAUGUGUAAGUAACUGUGCACAUCUUGACGGUACCUAAUCAGAAAGCCACGGCUAACUACGUG